UACGAAGGGGGCUAGCGUUGUUCGGAAUUACUGGGCGUAAAGCGCACGUAGGCGGAUAUUUAAGUCAGGGGUGAAAUCCCGGGGCUCAACCCCGGAACUGCCUUUAAGACUGCAUCGCUAGAAUUGUGGAGAGGUGAGUGGAAUUCCGAGUGUAGAGGUGAAAUUCGUAGAUAUUGGGAAGAACACCGGUGGCGAAGGCGGCGACCUGGUCCGUGACUGACGCUGAGGCGCGAAAGCGUGGGGAGCAAACAGG
rnacentral:rRNA from 1 species